rnacentral:rRNA from 1 species
AUGUCAGUUACUUUCAUCUUGGGCAUAGCCAACCUUAUUGGUGGACUUCCUCACGUUUUUCACAAUAUCACUGAUCUGAGAGACAGCCGAGUCAUGAACGAGGACAAAUCGGAAGGUCGGCCACUACUGACUCAAGCUUGGAUGUGGUCGAAAGCCCGGCUCCACAUGGUUCUACCACUGCUCUCACACAUGGUGUUCGGGCUACUUCCACCAGUGCUCUGCGGGUUGUCGUUCCGUGAGAGUAACGACAGGGAGAACAAGAUGAUGGACGUCGCCAGUGCUUCGCUUGCCUGCAUCGCUCUGCUAGCGCUCGGGAAGGUUAUGGCCACAGAAGAGCCAUGA